GCUGCUCUCUGCAGUUACGAUGCUGCCCUGCCACUAUAGUCUCCCUCUGUAGUGAUCCAAUAUUCUACUAUAUAUCGGCAAAACUAUUCCAGCCCAGCCCUUUCAACUCUCCCGAAUCUAAGCCAACGACAGUCAAGCUACUAUGAAGACAUCAGGCGUAUGGAAAUAACAGAUGGGAAAGGCGAGAGGAGAUCAUUACUCUGAACUGUCUGGGAUGUCCCCGGGCAAUGCUAAGCUAACAUUCAGCAGUGUCUACAAGAUGACACACAAUAUGUUGAAAGAAUGGAGCGGUAAUUCCCUUGGAAGGACGUGAAAAGCUUUCCAAUCUCAAGGUGAUAUCAGAGCUCAUUCCCACUGAAACACUUGGAUGCUCUUUCUCCAGCUACCAUGCUCUUUUUUCCACUCAAGAAAGGAAGAGAAUGCAGGUUCCCACAGACACUGCAAGCCCCCUCAAGCUUAGGCAGUGGCCCUAACUCAGAUCUCUCUUCCUUCUAGAUCAACACAACUG